GACAAAGUGAGUUGAAGGUAAUGAAAAAUGACCCACCUGGUAUUUUCAGAAAGCUACCUGGGAACUAUUUACAACUGAGGAUAAGGACGUUCUUCAGGGCCUGACCUAGGACAAUGAAGUGACAAUGAAGGAGGGACUAUGCACGCGCUAUAGGGCAGAA